UAAUUUUAAUGUAAACUUAAAUGUUAAUCUGCAGAGGUACAGCUCUGCAGAAUAAGAUAACAACCUUAAUUAGAGAGUAAAUUUAUAUAACAACCAUAGUUGGCCUAAAAGCAGCCACCAAUUAAGAAAGCGUUCAAGCUCAACAAUUAAAUUUACACAUAAUUCAAAAAAUAAUAUGAACUCCUAAUUUAAUUACUGGAUUAUUCUACCCACAUGUAGAAGCAAUACUGUUAAUAUGAGUAACAAGAUUUUAAAUCUCCAAACACACGUGUAUAUCAACCCGAAUACUAACUGAUAAUUAACAAUUAGACAAAUCCAAACAUUUAAUUAAUAAUUUUCCACCAUAUUGUUAAUCCAACACCGGAGUGUACUUAAGGAAAGAUUAAAAAAAGUAAAAGGAACUCGGCAAACAUAAACCCCGCCUGUUUACCAAAAACAUCACCUCUAGCAUUACCAGUAUUAGAGGCACUGCCUGCCCAGUGACAUUAGUUUAACGGCCGCGGUAUCCUGACCGUGCAAAGGUAGCAUAAUCAUUUGUUCCUUAAUUAGGGACUUGUAUGAAAGGCUCCACGAGGGUUUAACUGUCUCUUACUUUCAAUCAGUGAAAUUGACCUUCCCGUGAAGAGGCGGGAAUAAAAAAAUAAGACGAGAAGACCCUAUGGAGCUUAAAUUAAAUUAUCUAAUAAAUUAAAACUUAAUCCAAUGGCAUAACAAUAUAUUUAACUAGAUAACAAAUUUUGGUUGGGGUGACCUCGGAGUAUAACCUAACCUCCGAGCUAUAUAAACUAAGACUUACCUGUCAAAGUGAAAUAACUUAUUGAUCCAAUCUUAUUGAUCAACGGAAUAAGUUACCCUAGGGAUACCAGCGCAAUCCUAUUUAAGAGUUCAUAUCGACAUUAGGGUUUACGACCUCGAUGUUGGAUCAGGACACCCAAUGGUGCAGCAGCUAUUAAAGGUUCGUU
rnacentral:rRNA from 1 species